rnacentral:tRNA from 1 species
UAGCCAAGUAGAAAGGCAUCGGUAUGACACGCCGACAAGCACAGGUGCGAUUCCUGUAUCCGCUACCAGGCGGAU